UUUUGUGAGAAUAAAAAGUAAUUUCUGCCCACUGUUUUUAUUAAUGAAGGGCUGCAGUAUUUUGACUGUAUAAAGGUAGCAUAAUCAUUAGCCUCCUAAUUAGAGGCUGGUAUGAAGGGGAAACUAGAAAAAGAUGUAUUUUUUUAAGAGAUUGAAUUUGAUUAUUUUGUGAAAAAUCAAAGUUGGAAUUAAGGGACAAGAAGACCCUAAUUUAAGUUUAAUUGUGAUUAUUUAUGAAGUAUAAAGAGAUUAAUAUAACAUAGGAGUUGUGGUUUAGCUGGGGCGGCGAAUUUUGGAAACAUAAUUAUAAAUAUAAUUAAUAAAUUAAGCGGAUUAGAGACCUAAGUUGGUUAGUUAUAAGAAAAAUUACUUUAGGGAUAACAGCGUUAUUAUUUUAGAAAGUUCUCAUUAACAAAGUAGUUUGCGACCUCGAUGUUGGAUUAAGAUUAGAGUUGGUGCAGGAGCCAGUGAGUUUUGGUCUGUUCGACCAGUAGGAUCUUACGUG
rnacentral:rRNA from 1 species